UACAAAGUAUAUUUACACCUCUCAAGGAUUCUAUUCGAGGAUACGUAUAUAUAUAUGUAUUUCAUCCGAUACGACUUACCUCUUGCCCCGCGUAAUCGGCCGAGUCUGGAUGGAUCAUUGGCGCGAAUCGAUCAUCCCUUUUCCCCUCGGCCUUCCGCAUCUAGCAUUUUUCGGAUCGCGCACACGCCACGCUUCGGCGCCGGCGCGACGCCGCUUUCCAUCCCCUCCCUCUGUCUCUCUCUCCCCCCUUCCCCCUCGUGUGUAUCCGAUACGACGUGACACCCUUUGUCCCCCCUUCCACCACGCGAUACAUCUUCCCAACUUCGCCGACCAAACUUAUGUACACUGUUCUCAGUACUCGCUGCCAGUUAUGCUUUCGAAAUGCAUGAAUUGUUCCUCCGUCGAGCGAAAUUGAUGGUUAUCUCGUGGCGCACGCUUCGCAAUUUACCACUAGCAAAUUGAUUAUCUUCGAUCUCGGAGGUUGCCGCGUUGUUUUGUGUGGACGGGUGACAUUGAGGGAAAGGAUUGUUUGAUUCAUGGGAGGUGGGGAAAUUUGUUGACACGACGAGCGGAAUAAACUGCGGUCCCGUGAUAAUAGCACGUUGUUAUUUCCGUCCUCGGAGAUGUUCGAAUUAAUUUUGACCGAGUUUAAUUUUAUGUUGCGGGAAAUUUGGACUAUGACUGCUCUCGCUGUUGGAAUUCACGUGAUACGAAACUCGUGAGUUUUCGUGAUUUUUUUAUCUUCGUUGAAUCGGAUAUAUUUUUAACGAUGAGUAACAAGGAAAUAAUACAGGAGAAUUAAAUCUUUAUUCUGUUAUUAAAGAACCAUUUCACGGACAAGUGAUUGGGUGGAAAUGUUAAGAGCUAGUUCCAAGUUAACUUCUUCUUUUAUUAAACUGACUAUUUCAUCAUAUGAUAUGAACCGACGAUAUUGGUGGAAAUCAAUGUCUGCUCGAAAUGGUUGUUUCAAAAGUAUAUAAAUUCAAUCAGAGAGUAGAGAGUCCUCUCUGAAAAUGCUUUUGCAUUUUCAAUUGACAAUUUCAAUCGAGUGAUCAAUCUGAUUGGUUUAAUUGAUCGAGAAAAUUUAAAGAAGAAAGAGAUUUUGAAUUAGUAAUGAGGUUAGAUGUAAUCAAGCGCCACUACUCGGAAAACAGCAGGGAGGAUCCUUGGCGAGCCACUAUUUUCAAUAAUAUCUUAGAAAUUUUUCUUUAUUGAAAUGAACGGAUGUUGCACAACAAUUGGAAGACGAUACUGGGUCAAUUGUGACACGUGGUAAAUUGUUGUCGUUCAAUUCAAAUAUUGUGAAAUGAAACGAAGGAAAUCUGAAUCACGGAAUAAAUUGUGGAAAUUCGAAAAAA
rnacentral:lncRNA from 1 species